rnacentral:snRNA from 1 species
AACAAAAAGGAACAAAGAGAGU